CAACCCCUCUGAAAUAAAUUCAGAAAUUCUCUUAUUUUUACACUACAAACACAAAUUUUCAAUGAAUUAUAAUCCGAUUGUCCCGGCCCGGCUCGGCCCGAUAAAUUGACCCCUCUUCUCUACACGCGUUUUUUGCUUUUUCCCUUGUUUGCUCUGGCAGCAAUCCAAAUUGAAAAGCCAUCAUCAUAAUUCAAAGCUAUACGCACACAACGCUGAAGGUGUUUGGCAAAAGAUAAGGGGAAAAGGAGAUGACUAGAGGGAAACAGAAGCUCGAAGCUCAGAAGAAGAAUGCCGAGAAGAACCAGAAGUCCAAAGGCUCGCAGAUCGAAGCCCGCGCCCACGGCCUGCAAGUCGUUUGCCCCAUUUGUCGAGCCCAGUUAGCAAAUCAGAAUCAGCUUGUUGAUCAUUACGGCUCCAAGCAUCCAAAAGAAAAGCCUCCAAGCAACUCAGGAUAACAGCUAAAAGCUUCCGGUUAUUUCAGCUCUUGUUCCUUGAGAAAAACUGUAAUUUAACUCUACAGCAUGUGAUGAUGAGUUCCCUGUUCUGUUUAUAACAAUGUAAUCUAUUUAUCACCUCCCCUUGUCAUAUUGGCCUGCAAGGAAAUCUACACAUGAAUAAAUUGUACUAUCUUCUUUGUCUUGUUGGGCACUAGAAGUGAUUUUUUGAAUGAAUCAUGCUCCCAGAAUGUAGUUGAA